GACAAGGUGGUCAAGUGGUUAAGGCCAUGGACUGCUAAUCCAUUGUGCUUCACGUGUGGGUUCCAAUCCCAUCUUUGUCG